AUACUUAUCUGGCAGGGGAGAUACCACAAAGUUGGUUUCCCCAGGGCGAGGCUCACCCAUUGCACUCUGGGUGUGCUGACCCUGAAAUUUCCCCAAAUGUGGGAAACUCGACUGCAUACUUUGUGGUAGUGGGGGACUGUGCUCACACUCUCCCCUG